GAUGAACGCUGGCGGCGUGCCUAACACAUGCAAGUCGAACGGAGAUUAAACGCUGAUGAGGCUUCGGCGGAAUCUUGUUUAAUCUUAGUGGCGGACGGGUGAGUAACGCGUGGGCAACCUGCCUCAUACUGGGGGAUAACAGUUGGAAACGACUGUUAAUACCGCAUAAGCGCACAGUAUCGCAUGAUACAGUGUGAAAAACUCCGGUGGUAUGAGAUGGGCCCGCGUCAGAUUAGCUAGUUGGCGGGGUAACGGCCCACCAAGGCGACGAUCUGUAGCCGAACUGAGAGGUCGGACGGCCACAUUGGGACUGAGACACGGCCCAAACUCCUACGGGAGGCAGCAGUGGGGGAUAUUGCACAAUGGAGGAAACUCUGAUGCAGCGACGCCGCGUGAGUGAAGAAGUAUUUCGGUAUGUAAAGCUCUAUCAGCAGGGAAGAAAGGCUCGUAAGAGAGAUGACGGUACCUGACUAAGAAGCCCCGGCUAACUAACGUGCCAGCAGCCGCGGUAAUACGUAAGGGGGCAAGCGUUAUCCGGAUUUACUGGGUGUAAAGGGAGCGCAGACGUUUGUGCAAGGAUGAAGUGAAACCCCACCGCCCUGAAUGAUGCAGGAG
rnacentral:rRNA from 1 species